rnacentral:rRNA from 1 species
GCACGGAGUUAGCCGGUGCUUAUUCAUCUGGUACCGUCAGCCAUCCAAGAAAAGAUGGGUUUCUUCCCAAAUAAAAGAAGUUUACAAUCCAGAGGACCUUCAUCCUCCACGCGGCAUGGCUGGUUCAGACUUGCGUCCAUUGACCAAUAUUCCUUACUGCUGCCUCCCGUAGGAGUCGGGCCCGUGUCUCAGUGCCCGUGUGACUGGUCGUGCUCUCACACCAGUUACUGAUCGUCGACUUGGUGGGCCGUUACCCCGCCAACUAUCUAAUCAGCCGCACACCCAUCUUCUAGCGCAUUGCUGCUUUAAUAUAAAAGUGAUGCCACUUCUAUAUGUUACGGAGUAUUAAUCCAAGUUUCCCUGGGCUAUUCUCCACUAAAAGGAAGGUUGUGUACGUGUUCCGCACCCGUUUGCCGGUCGCCAGCAUUCCGAUUGCUCGGAACCUGCUGCCCCACGACUUGCAUGUAUUAAGCCUGCCGCUAGCGUUCAUC